GAGUUGUGAAGUGAAAAGUGGUCAGGAUCCAUCUAGCGACUAUGCCUCUUCCCCUGAUUUACAGUUGCUAGGUUCCAACACCGUACGUUUUGUAUCCGGGAAUAUGGUGUGGAUCAGACCAACUACACUACAGGAAGUCCUGCAAUUGAUGAAAGGAUAUCCCAGGAGCCAGACUGGUCAUGGGAGCGACCGCUAUGAGUUACGAAAUGAAGAAAGGACACCGAAAUGAGGGUACGCUCAUCUGCUGUUCUCACGUGAAGGAAAUGAAUAUGUUCCUGUUAAACAACAAUACACUGGAGGUCGGUUCGGCAGUCGAUCUGGCAUCUUUUCAUGGGCGUUUAAAUGAUAUCAU